CAAGUACGUAUAUACUUUAUUACAUAGUACAAAACACCAUCUUAAAUGCAAGUUGUAAAAAUUCAGUAACAGGAACUAAGAAAACAUGAAAAAUUAUUCUAAGUUUUUGCCUUGUAAACCAAGGGAGUGAAUCCACCCUCCAGGCCAGUGAUCAAAUCUGCACCUCUGCAGCAAUGCUAGUUCUCUGAGGUCACUGCCACAAGGCCCUGGAUUAAGUCAUCUAUAGUCUGUAAUGCUGGUUUAUCUGGGCAGCAACAAUAAAGAUAUUGACUGAUUAGAGCAUCUUACUAGAGACUGGUAAGGAAACUGGGGCAGCAAAGAUCCAAGUUCCUAAAUAAACUCUUGUUGACUCAAUAUUCUUAUGAGGAGGAACAUGAUUUAACUAGCUCCUUAACUAAAAUGCUAAUGUUAACACAAAAACAUCUGAAAUACUUUUCCUUGCAUUAUUUUCUUUAAACGUUUAAAGUGAAACCAUUUUCAUCUAUUCUGUAUAACAAUACAUAACACUGAUCUCUUAUGAUGCAGCAGGUUAAGGAUCCGGAGUUGUCCUUGUAGUGGCUUGGUUUUGAUCCUGGCCCAGGAACUUCCACCUGCCAUGGCAGUAAGAAAAAAAACAAAGAGUAACAUUGAGCUCUAGCUCCCUGUUGACAGUGUAACUCCCAGCCUGCAGGUAACCUACUUGUUACUCAAAUGAGCUCAGCUUGAAAUAAGAGAAAUGCUCCCAUGUUUAGCUGCUCAUUCGGAGCUAACGAUUUGCUAGGAUCCUCCCAAUAAACUAGCCCCAUGCUCUCUACUUUGUCACACUCGACUCUAAAGGUUUCACUCUGCUUAAAUCAUUGUACCUAUAGAGCUGAUGAAAAAUGAGGAAGCUCAGCUCAUUUUUGUUCCUCCAAGACCAAUGAAAAAAAUUGUAGGACUGCCCUGAAUAUCCACCCAAGUGGUGGUUCCAGUGAAACUCUGUUUUGGUUUGGCCUCUCUCUACAGGAUCAUCAACCACAACAGCUAGGAUUUUUUUCCCUCCGGAGCAAGCUUUCUUUCAGAAUGAGUCUUGACUGUCUAAAUUUAGCUUUUCAGCUAUUUUUUUACAGUUAAAUUGGCUAUCUGAGCAAACCAAAUUCCUGACCCCCUCCACAUUGUCAUAUGUCCUGUGGGUGACUAGAAAGCCACUUCUUGCAUCAUUGUGGGGGUCAGCUCUGCCUUCUUUAAACUUUUUUUUUUUUUUUUUUUUUUUUUUUUUGCUUCUUAGGGCCACACUCCAGGCACAUGGAAGUCCCCAGGAUCCCUAGGCUAGAGGUCAAAUCAGAGCUGGAGCUGCAGCUGCCAGCCUAUGCUUCAGCAUCUAGGGAUCUGAGCCCUGUCUUGAGACUUACACACCACAGCUUACAGCAAACGCCGGAUCCUUAACCCACUAAGCGAGGUUUUCCAGUGAUUGGUUGUGAUCUUAGAUUGUAUCUGUUGAGCUCUUUGCUUUUCGUUUUUAUGGUAGAGAAACAUGCAUUACAUAAAUCUUUUAGCCAUUAUGAGUGUACAAUUCAGUGGUGUUAAUUACACGCACAAAGUUGUGCAACUAUUAUUUCCAGAAUAUUUCCAUCAUCUCAAACAAAUUCUGUACCUAUUAUAUAGUACCUCCCCAUUCUCUCCUCUCCCUAGCCCCUGGUAAUCCCUAAGAGUCUCUGAAUUUAACUACACUACCUCCUAAGAGUGGAAUCAUGUCGUUGUACCUGGCUUAUUUCACUUACGUUUUCAAGGCUCACCCAUGUUGUAGCAGUCAUUAUUCAUUCCUUUUUAAGGCUGAAUAAUCCAGUGUGUGUGUGUGUGUGUGUGUGUGUGUGUGUGUGUGUGUGUGUAUAAAUGCAAUGUUAUGCAUAUAUAUAUAUAAAAAACAUACAUAUACAAAAUGUGGCAUAUAUAUAUAUGUCAUCUCUAGAUGGACAUUUGGGUUGUCACCUUUUGGCUGUUGGGAAUAUUGUUGCUAUGAACAUGGGUGUACAAGUAUCUGUUUGAGUCCCUGCUUUCAAUUCUUUUGGGUAUCUAUACCCAAGAAGCAAAAUUGCUGGAUCAUCUGGUAACUCUGUAAUUUUUGGAGGAGCAGUCAGACUGUUCUCCACAGCAAUGAUACCAUUUUACAUUCCCACCAGGGAUGCACCAGGUUCCAAUUUCUCCACACCCUGCCAACACUUUUUAUUUUCUAACAUCUUUCACAAUGGCCUGUGAUGAUUCAGUCCCCUACAAGGUAUUUUCUUCCCAAAUCUCCUCUGCCUCCCCUCUCCUCCCCCUCUUCUUGAUGUGCUUUUGCUUCAGUGAAAAUAGACUCAGGCUCAAGACUUUUCCUUUGUAUCAAAUACUUAAGGUAACUUUGUGGUUUGCCAAGUGCAAGAAUUCAGUGCAUACUUACAUGUUCCUUUACUGGAGGAAUCUGCAUUACCUUUUUAGGCGGCGAAUAGGGCUGCUUUCUGCAUUAAGAAACGAACUUCACAAUGUAGAUGUGACCCUGAUCUCAGAGAGACAUCAGUGAACCAAGGCUUGAAGCGAGCUCUUAAGUCUCUGCUCAGGAAUUGAACCUGGGCAGCCUGGGUGAAAACCAGGAAUCUUAGCCACUAGAUCAGCUAGCUAGAGGCUAGAAGCAGAAUUGCCUGGAUUCUUGCCCCCCUGUUGAAAGCAAGAAUGUAAAAGCAGAUACAAAGUUUAUUUUUAGAAACUCAAUACAACACGUGGGAGAGCGCACAGAGAAGUAGUCUAUUUAUCUAAGGCCAAAGUAAAGCAGUCAUACACACCGAAAGGUGUGUGGUGCGGGCAUCCCCCGGAAUAAGGAGCGUGCCAGAGGGGUGAUUUAAAUCACAUAUAUGGGACAGUUCUUCCAAGUCUUUGUUUUUCUUUGGCCAAUUAUCUUGUUUUAUUUUUCACACCUGACAAGACCCAGGGCCCUACCUGAUCUGCGGGUGGAUCUUUUGGCCAAGAUGGGUAUCAGAACAAGGGCUUAUGGGAAGGUUAGCUAGACUUACUACGGCCUGGUGCUGCACAUCCCCCCCGCCCCCUUCUAACCCAGAGGGGUCUUUCUGCUUAUGUACAGUUUGGGUCUUCCUGAACCCAGAAUGGUAAGUAUGUGUCAUCACCACUGUUUAACAAGUUCACAUAAGAUAAGUGAACUAAUUAUUUGCUUUUUGCUUGUUGCUAUUUCUAUCAUGGAAGUAUAAGUAGGUGGCUGGAUGUAAAUGUUUAUCUGAGAGCUCACCUAUGUCCCGCCUCAGGAAGUAUAAAUAGGAGGCUGGUUGUUAAGGUCUGUCCCAGAGCCCAUCUAUCUCCUGCCUCAAUCCUGCCCUCCCUUAAACUAUCUGUACAUCAGCUUAAUAAGGGCGAGCUCGAAACAGGCUGGGAUAAGAACCCACCAUUUAAGCAAGGCUUGCCCACAAUUUCUAAUUCAAAUGUCCCAAGGUUUCAAACCGUUCAACACAGAUGGAGGAGCGUCAGGGCCUACCAGGUGGCGCUUUACUACCUUGGGUUCCUUCUGCCAAGCGGCAGCAGAGCCACACUCCCGGUGAACCUCCGCUCCACGAGGAGAAAACUGGGAACGCCAGGUAAAGCCCGAAUUCUGUCAGCUGAGACCCCACUGCCCCAGCCGCGCCUCACCUGGGCCUCCGCGUUCAGACAGGCAGCUCCCAGCCUGCGGCGUCAAACGCCCUGGCCACGCUCGCUGCCCCUCGACGAUCCUCCACUCACCGUUCCGCAGGGGAUGGAAACCACAAGCUGCUAGAGAGGCGCAAACAGCCUGGGGCAGC
rnacentral:lncRNA from 1 species